rnacentral:tRNA from 1 species
CUUUUAUAGUUUAUAUGUAAAAUAUAACACUGAAAAUGUUAUGAUAUUUUUUUAAAAGUAA